UGAGAUGUUGGGUUAAGUCCCGUAACGAGCGCAACCCUUGUCCUUAGUUACCAGCACGUUAUGGUGGGCACUCUAAGGAGACUGCCGGUGACAAACCGGAGAAGGUGGGGACGACGUCAAGUCAUCAUGGCCCUUAUGUCUAGGGCUACACACGUGCUACAAUGGGUUAUACAGAGGGCAGCUAGCUCGCGAGAGUCUGCGAAUCCCUUAAAGUAAUCCUCAGUUCGGAUUGUAGUCUGCAACUCGACUACAUGAAGUUGGAAUCGCUAGUAAUCGUGGAUCAGCAUGCCACGGUGAAUACGUUCCCGGGCCUU
rnacentral:rRNA from 1 species